ensembl:lncRNA
CUCGUCUUGUUCUUCAGAAAUAUUCUUGCAACCUUCAUGACUCCGAACGUAUUGUGUUUGUAAAGGAUUUAAUGUCGUCCAAUCAAUAUGCAACAUACGUGGUGCUACAAUACAGUUAUACUUAUCAUUUCCCAUAAUUUCGGAUUAUUUUGAAAUAUAUUUUGAAAUGUAACAAAUGAAAUAGUGUAUAGGCUUAACGUGAUGUGCAAAAUAUAUUUUACUCUGCGACACGUGUCAAUUUACAGUUGUACACCAUAACAAUGUAUUAAAGAAUAAUUACAUUCAUUUUAUAUUAAUACAAUAUUUUAAAGGUUUUAUGAUACGUUCAGCGGCUCCUCAAAAAUUGACCAAAGUGAUUUUAGCCAAAAUAUGUAAUUUUGAGAACUCGUAACUGAUGGUGAGAUUGUUUCAACAAACACACAUCCAACUCGCAUAACAAUUUAAAGCGAUUACACUCCCCUUUGACGGAUAUCGCUACCCGCUGACAUACAUUAUGCUCCAAUUUAAGGAUGAUUCUGUAACGUUGAAGGGAAAAAAAAGCGUAGUAAUGCGGGGUGAUAAUGCUAUUGAAAUAUAUUCAAGGGGGCCUCUCACUGGGUCUCGAGGUGCAUGACACUGUAUUGAGAUUCCAGAUAUCCAGACUCUCCAUGCAUGUCCCUGAUGGGGUUUUGACUGACGUGAUGGGCACAGAGGAUUGUUGAUGGGGGUUACCUUUGUGCUUGCCCCCUUAGAGAUUCAGAAAGCUGUAUGCCUGGCCCGAGGCCUCGGCACAGGGGGCAGAUUUGAUGUGGGGUUGGCCAUGCCGG